rnacentral:lncRNA from 1 species
UGUCCAUAUUGUUUGAAACUGAGCUGAGAUCAUUUCCGUAGACCUAAAUAAAGACUUUGCUUUAUAAAUCUUAGCUCUUCAGUCAAGGGUCGUGUAUACUCGAGUCAGUCAGCCCUCCACUGACCUACGCUAACAGCCCCUUUUGAUAUAGACAUUUGUCCAACUCCGGGGGAAUACACAAUAUUAUAGUUCAUACACUAUAAUAUUGUUUUCUUCUACAUGUCAUUUUUAAGAAGUAAAGCAAAUUUUGUUGUUUUGUGUUCUGCGAUGGAUUCUCCAUCUGUAGCUCAGGCUGCCCUAGAACUUACCUGGAGACUAAGCUUGCUUCCAAGUGUGAUGCUCUUCCUUGUCUCGGUCCCCUCGUGUGUGGAUGAUACACAGAGCCACCACUACAGUCUUAGUACUUUCCUAGACCAAGAAGAUGAUUUGGUGUGACAAUUAUGCACAAGGCCUUUUGUGGUUCUCUUUUUAAAAUAUACUAAAUUUCCCCUGUUAGCCUCUUUGAGGGUCUUAACCAUUAUGUUCUACUGGCGUCAGCGCAAGGAAGAACCGUUGUCACAGCCAUCAACAGUUCUACACAACCUGAGAAAUCAGCCUAACCAGGUCUUGGUGGCUUUGAUCACUCUACUGAACACUAACUCACAGCAACUACAUACUUCUUAGGACAAAGGAUUUUCACAAAUGAACAUCUUUAAAUAUUACAGCAUGAGCAUACGACAGAGUGAAUGAUCCUGUAAAAAAUAAAUAAUUUUAAUUUCUUCUUCCUCCUCUUCAUCUUCUUCCUCCUCCUUCUUCUCCUCUCUCCCUCUCUCCUUCCCUCCCUCUCCUUCCCCAAUCUCAGAGUGUUCAAACCCACAUACAGCACUCACUUGAUUACAUAUCUAUAACUACAGCCCUCAUUUGCUUUCAUGUAAAAUUAUAUUUAGUAUUUAAACUAAAUAAUAGUUUAAAACUAAGUAAUAAACCUUGUACUUUAUCCUUAAAAAGCUUCCAGUGAGGAUCUUUACUUUAAAUACAAAGGAACAUAUUUUAUGAUUUCUAAAAUAUCAACGUAUAACUAGCAUGCAUCUGUCUCUAUGGAGAUCUGAGAGAAUACUACACUGUUGAAAUUUUGCUAAUAAUCAACCCUGUACAUUGUCCAUCUUAUCCUUAACAAAAUAUGCCUUAAAUAUUUCACUUUAAUUUUUGCAUAUAUUUCUUACCUCUAGGCUUUCUAAGAUUUAACAGCCUAGAAAAUUAUCUUAUCUUUGGUUUAGCAAAACCAUAUCUUUAUUUUAUCCAACUUGACAAAAUUGCAUUCUUAUUUUUCCAAUUUAAGUGUUUUUACAUACUCACUUCAUUGCUUAAAAUUCACACAGAUAAUGUACAUGCUAGAUAGAUAAAUUGAGACAUAUCCACUUCUUUUUAUCCAUAUGCACGUACACACGCGAGCACGUGUGCAUGCCUGUGCACAAGCAUGUGUGUGCACACACAAACACACUAAUAUUUAGGCCUAUUUAAUGUUUAGUGCAACUUCUCUGCUUUAACUCUAUAGGUGCUGACGGGUUGGCUAAGAUGGCAAGGUUUACAAGUCCAGGGUCAUCUAUGAGUCUGUGCAUCCCAGAAGCCCUGCCAUGCAGAGCAUUGUUUAGCCUCGUCUUUCUGGAACUAAGGCCUGGUCUGAUGUCUGCAGCUCCCUGGUACCGUGGAGCUGUGUCUGCUCUGAUAGCAUGGGUAGCAUGCAUUCUCACUUACACUGCAUGGACCUAAUAAAUGAAACUGACCCUCACCUUGGUUAGCUUUCCUUCUUUUUCUCCCCAUCUUACAGAAGUAAGGAUGCACUUUUAGUUGGGCUGUGUCUUAUGUUUAACCUUUGCAGGGCAAUCGCCUUUCUCUUACAGGCCUUUGUUCCCCUUCAGAGAGGAAAUGAUUCACUCUAAAAAUUCAAUAUAAAUAAAGCAGCUAAUUCUGCUUUUGAAACUUCAAACUUUGAGAUCGAAUUCAACAUUUCUG